rnacentral:lncRNA from 1 species
GUUUUCACACUUUUUUUUCCAUUCUAAUAACAGGCCUGUGUACAGAGUUGAGACUUACAAGACUCAAGAGGUGCUCUGAUGGGAAGUGGCCACUGGCUCAGCUCAGAAAAAGGUGACUCACUCUGGGGAUUACCACACAGGUUCCUUCCUGCCAAAAGAAAGCAAAAGUCGAGACCUGGGUUGUGGCUUAGUGGCAGGACGCUCGCCUAGCAUGUGUGAAGCCCUAGGUUCAAUCAUCAGCACCACAUAAAAAUAAAUAAGUGAAAUAAAGGUAUUGUGUCCAACUACAACUAAAAAGUAAAUAUUUAAAAAAGAAAGCAAGAAAGCAAAAGUCAUCCCACCAGGGCAGCCCCUGAGGGCAAGGCAGGGCAAGUUCCCCUGGGCAGACUCAAGAGGGGCCCCAGCAUCUCCCAAGCCCUGAGAACCAGCAGUUACAUUCCCGUAGCUUCAGGGUCUGGGGUGCUCAUGAGGUGGCCACUGUCCUGGGCCUCAGUAUCCUGACCUGAGAGUGCUGGAGCCCCUGCAGAAAGUGUGAGGCUCACCAUGGACAGGGCUAGAUGCAGUGGACACCAGCUCCUGUGACUUGGCCACAGAGGGGAGGCCCCAGCAGCUGCCCAUUAGACCUACAGAGCACUGAAGGGGACAACUGCCAGUGGCCCCCACUCUACCUGAAGGUCCUCAAGGAAAGCAGCUGCCCCUUGGCAGUCCAACCACUGACGUCUCUCUUUCUCUGCUGCUGCGGCUUCUGCUUUUCAUUUCAUGUCCAGUAGGGCACUGUGGACAUUUCUGAACACAACUGAGCACUCACCUUUCCCAGACAGGGCCGCUGUCCUUGAGGCCCAUGCCUCACGUCCUUUACUCCCUCGGGCCUUUGGGGUGACAGCCAACUUGCAUGUGGGAGCAGGAGGCACAAAGGCUAUACACAGGAUGCCCCUCAUGUAACUGGUGCUGCUCCCAGGGGGGGAGUCACCUCACAGAGGCCACAGUCCCUUGCUUACCCUAAAAGUGGCUCUUUUUCCUCAGUCAUUUGAAAGUUGCCUUGUGCUGCCACUCCUGAAAGACACCAGCUGCCCUGUCUGCCACUCUCUGAUAGGCGCGCUCCUGGAAAGGCCAAAACAGCUCUAAGCCAGGGUCCCCCACACAAGCACACCGUGGGGGCUUUUCCCUAGCUCAGUGCCCAGCCUACAGCCAGCUGGAGGUGCAGCAUCUCCUGGAGGCCCUGUAGGGUGUUGGGGGGGACCCUAGUGAAGGGAAAGAGAAUGACAAACUUCCUGUGGCAUUGCUCUGGGGCCAGCAGGUGGGCUGCCUCCUGGGUGCAGGGAUGGGGCAGGUCUCACCCCCAGGUAGUGGCUCAGAUGUCUAAAGGGUCAGUUCAGGACCACCCCUCAGGAGACCAUGUAUGAGGGUGAGCUCCUGAGGCAACAUGGGCAUCAGUAGGAAUGGUACGGCAGGCAGCCACCUGCUCAGGUUCCAUUCUGAACAAGCCUUCUUAUGCUUCCCAUGCGUCCACGUCAGAAUGUUUCUGGUCAGGCACAGUAGUCACACCUAUGAUCCAGGGACUCCAGAGGCUCAAAAUUCCAGCCAAGCUCAGCAAGACUGUCUCAAAAUAAAGAGGACUUGGGGUGCAGUGUGGUGGAAAGGCUCCCUGGGUUCACUCCUCAGUGGCCCCAAAGUUUCUGCUUUAAGCAACACAGGUCACUUGGGGAUGUCUGGAAACUACAGAAAGGACCAAGAAGAAAGUAAAGAAGACUCCCCAGUUCCCUUAUCCACGACGACACCUGAGGUGAAGACCUGCUUCAGUGUGACCCUCAGCCAGCCUCAGAGCCACCUCACACCAGAGCCAAAGGCCCAGCCUGGCCAGGCCUCUACAGCAGCAGCCCCUCACCUGGCACCCCUCCUUCCCUGCUUGGCAUAUCCUGGGCCUUUUUUGGAUUUUUUUGUUGUUGUUUUAUUGAUUUUAUUUUUUUAAAUACACAACAGCAGAAUGCAUUACAAUUCUUAUUAUACAUAUAGAGUACAGUUUUUCAUAUCUUUGUAUAAAGUAUGUUCACGCCAAUUCAUGCCUUUAUACAUGUACUUUGGUGUCUUUUUUUUUACAUUUCAAUUCUUAUUACACAUAUAUACCACAAUUUUUCAUAUCUCUGUUUGUUUAUGAAGUAUGUGGACACCCUGGGGGCUGGGGAUGUGGCUCAAGCGGUAGCGCGCUCGCCUGGCAUGCGUGCGGCCCAGGUUCGAUCCUCAGCACCACAUACAAACAGAGAUGUUGUGUCC